CAAUUACUGGUUACUGAGCAAUUGAACAACUGAACCACAGGGAACUGCAGGGGAUAACAAGAAAGGAAUCAAUCUAGGAACAAAGGGGAAAGGAUGAACAAUUACUGGUUACUGAGCAAUUGAACAACUGAACCACAGGGAACUGCAGGGGAUAACAAGAAAGGAAUCAAUCUAGGAACAAACUAGAAAGACACAAUCAAACAAGAC
rnacentral:lncRNA from 1 species